GAUGAACGCUGGCGGCGUGCCUAAUACAUGCAAGUCGAGCGAAUGGAUUAAGAGCUUGCUCUUAUGAAGUUAGCGGCGGACGGGUGAGUAACACGUGGGUAACCUGCCCAUAAGACUGGGAUAACUCCGGGAAACCGGGGCUAAUACCGGAUAACAUUUCGAACCGCAUGGUUCGAAAUUGAAAGGCGGCUUCGGCUGUCACUUAUGGAUGGACCCGCGUCGCAUUAGCUAGUUGGUGAGGUAACGGCUCACCAAGGCAACGAUGCGUAGCCAACCUGAGAGGGUGAUCGGCCACACUGGGACUGAGACACGGCCCAGACUCCUACGGGAGGCAGCAGUAGGGAAGCUUCCGCAAUGGACGAAAGUCUGACGGAGCAACGCCGCGUGAGUGAUGAAGGCUUUCGGGUCGUAAAACUCUGUUGUUAGGGAAGAACAAGUGCUAGUUGAAUAAGCUGGCACCUUGACGGUACCUAACCAGAAAGCCACGGCUAACUACGUGCCAGCAGCCGCGGUAA
rnacentral:rRNA from 1 species